CACGUAGGGCGCAAGCGUUGUCCGGAAUUAUUGGGCGUAAAGAGCUCGUAGGCGGUCUGUUACGUCUGCUGUGAAAACUCGGGGCUUAACCCCGAGCUUGCAGUGGAUACGGGCAGACUAGAGGUAGGUAGGGGAGAAUGGAAUUCCCGGUGUAGCGGUGAAAUGCGCAGAUAUCGGGAGGAACACCGGUGGCGAAGGCGGCAUCCUGGACCAACACUGACGCUGAGUGAGCGAAAGCCAGGGGAGCAAACGGG
rnacentral:rRNA from 1 species